rnacentral:rRNA from 1 species
GCAGCAGUGGGGAAUUUUGGACAAUGGGCGCAAGCCUGAUCCAGCCAUGCCGCGUGCAGGAUGAAGGCCUUCGGGUUGUAAACUGCUUUUGUACGGAACGAAAAGACUUUGUUUAAUACAGGGGGUUCAUGACGGUACCGUAAGAAUAAGCACCGGCUAACUACGUGCCAGCAGCCGCGGUAAUACGUAGGGUGCGAGCGUUAAUCGGAAUUACUGGGCGUAAAGCGUGCGCAGGCGGUUAUAUAAGACAGAUGUGAAAUCCCCGGGCUCAACCUGGGAACUGCAUUUGUGACUGUAUAGCUAGAGUACGGCAGAGGGGGAUGGAAUUCCGCGUGUAGCAGUGAAAUGCGUAGAUAUGCGGAGGAACACCGAUGGCGAAGGCAAUCCCCUGGGCCUGUACUGACGCUCAUGCACGAAAGCGUGGGGAGCAAACAGGAUUAGAUACCCUGGUAGUCCACGCCCUAAACGAUGUCAACUGGUUGUUGGGUGUUCAUUGACUCAGUAACGAAGCUAACCGUUGAAGUGACCGCC